rnacentral:rRNA from 1 species
UAGGGAAUCUUCCACAAUGGGCGCAAGCCUGAUGGAGCAACACCGCGUGAGUGAAGAAGGGUUUCGGCUCGUAAAGCUCUGUUGUUAAAGAAGAACACGUAUGAGAGUAACUGUUCGUACGUUGACGGUAUUUAACCAGAAAGUCACGGCUAACUACGUGCUAG